CAGCCGUAAACUAUGCGCGUUAGGUGUAUCGGUGACCACGAGUUACCGAGGUGCCGAAGGGAAACCGUGAAACGUGCCGCCUGGGAAGUACGGUCGCAAGGCUGAAACUUAAAGGAAUUGGCGGGGGAGCACCACAACAGGUGGAGCCUGCGGUUUAAUUUGGACUCAACGCCGGGAAGCUCACCGGAUAGGACAGCAGAAUGAUUGCCGGGCUGAAGACCCUGCAUGACUAGCUGAGAGGAGGUGCAUGGCGUCAGUGACU
rnacentral:rRNA from 1 species